rnacentral:rRNA from 1 species
CUUGAACGCUGGCGGCAGGCCUAACACAUGCAAGUCGAGCGGAGCGGCGGACGGGUGAGUAAUGCCUAGGUAUCUGCCUGGUCGUGGGGGAUAACGUCCGGAAACGGGCGCUUAUACCUCAUCCUAUCAGAUGAGCCUAGGUCGGUUUAGCUAGUUGGUGGGGUAAAGGCCUACCAAGGCGACGAUCCGUAACUGGUCUGAGAGGAUGAUCAGUCACACUGGAACUGAGACACGGUCCAGACUCCUACGGGAGGCAGCAGUGGGGAAUAUUGGAAAAUGGGCGAAAGCCUGAUCCAGCCAGGCCGAGAGUGUGAAGAAGGUCUUCGGAUUGUAAAGCACUUGAAGUUGGGAGGCGGUACCAACAGAAUAAGCACCGGCUAACUACGUGCCAGCAGCCGCGGUAAUAC